rnacentral:rRNA from 1 species
UACGGGAGGAAGCAGUGGGGAAUAUUGCACAAUGGGCGAAAGCCUGAUGCAGCAACGCCGCGUGAGCGAUGAAGGCCUUCGGGUCGUAAAGCUCUGUCCUCAAGGAAGAUAAUGACGGUACCUGAGGAAUAAGCAUCGGCUAACUCCGUGCCAGCAGCCGCGGUAAUACGGAGGAUGCAAGCGUUAUCCGGAAUGAUUGGGCGUAAAGAGUCCGUAGGUGGCAUUGAAAGUCUGCUGUUAAAGAGUCUAGCUCAACUAGAUAAGAGCAGUGGAAACUACAAAGCUAGAGUUUGGUCGGGGCAGAAGGAAUUCCUGGUGUAGCGGUGAAAUGCGUAGAUAUCAGGAAGAACACCGGUGGCGAAGGCGUUCUGCUAGGCCGAGACUGACACUGAGGGACGAAAGCUAGGGGAGCGAAUGGGAUUAGAUACCCCAGUAGUCCUAGCCGUAAACGAUGGAUACUAGGCGUAGCUCGUAUCGACCCGAGCUGUGCCGGAGCUAACGCGUUAAGUAUCCCGCCUGGGGAGUACGCAGGCAACUGUGAAACUCAAAUGAAUUGACGG